rnacentral:rRNA from 1 species
UACGUAGGUGGCAAGCGUUGUCCGGAAUUAUUGGGCGUAAAGGGCGCGUAGGCGGUGCGGUAAGUCACCUGUGAAAUCUCUGGGCUCAACUCAGAGUCUGCAGGCGAAACUGCCGUGCUGGAGUAUGGGAGAGGUGCGUGGAAUUCCCGGUGUAGCGGUGAAAUGCGUAGAUAUGCGGAGGAACACCGAUGGCGAAGGCAAUCCCCUGGGCCUGCACUGACGCUCAUGCACGAAAGCGUGGGGAGCAAACAGG